rnacentral:rRNA from 2 species
AUGCAAGGAACCCUGG